rnacentral:rRNA from 1 species
GAGUUUGAUCUUGGCUCAGAUUGAACGCUGACGGCAUGCCUAACACAUGCAAGUCGAACGGCAGCACUGGGAGCUUGCUCCCUGGUGGCGAGUGGCGGACGGGUGAGUAACGCGUAGGAAUCUGCCUCAUAGCGGGGGACAACUCGGGGAAACUCGAGCUAAUACCGCAUACUACUCGAGAGAGGAAAGCAGGGGACCUUCGGGCCUUGCACUAUGAGAUGAGCCUGCGUUGGAUUAGCUAGUUGGUAGGUAAAGGCCUACCAAGGCGACGAUCCAUAACUGGUUGAGAGGAUGACCAGUCACACUGGGACUGAGACACGGCCCAGACUCCUACGGGAGGCAGC